rnacentral:rRNA from 1 species
UUAAGAUACUAAGAGCAUACGGUGGAUGCCUUGGCGAUAUCUGCCGACGAAGGACGUGACAAGCUGCGAAAAGCUGCGGAGAGAUGCAAAUAAUCGGCGACCCGCAGACAUCCGAAUGGAGAAAUCCGGCUGUGAUGAUGCACAGCCAUCCAUGCCCAAGAGCAUGAGAAGGGAACCGGGCGAACUGAAACAUCUAAGUAACCCGAGGAAAAGAAAUCAAACGAGAUACCCCAAGUAGCGGCGAGCGAACAGGGAAGAAGCCCAAACCGGUGAAGGAAACUUUACCGGGGUUGAGGACCAUCAGACCCGCGAAGAACCUUAGCCGAAACUGUUGGGAAACAGUGCCGAAGACAGUGAAAGCCUGGUAGGCGAAAAAGAGAAACGCGGAGAUGGCACCAGAGUACCGCGGGACACGAGAAAUCCCGUGGGAAGCCGGGGGGACCACCCUCCAAGGCAAAACACAGAUAUCGACCGAUAGCGCAUAGUACCAUGAGGGAAAGGUGAAAAGCACCCCGGGAGGGGAAUGAAAGAGAACCUGAAACCGUAUGUUUACAAGCAGUCGGAGACCGCUUAAUAAUAAGGUCGACGGCGUGCCUAUUGAAGAAUGAACCGGCGAGUUACGAAGCCUGGCAAGGUUAAGCAGGAAAUGCGGAGCCGAAGCGAAAGCGAGUCUUAAGAGGGCGCAAGUCAGGAAGCGUAGACCCGAAACCACAGUGAUCUACCCAUGUCCAGGUUGAAACACAGGUAAAAAUGUGUGGAGGACCGAACCUAUAUCCGUUGAAAAGGGUUAGGAUGAGGUGUGGGUAGGGGUGAAAUUCCAAUCGAACGUGGAGAUAGCUGGUUCUCCCCGAAAUAGCUUUAGGGCUAGCCUCAGGGAAAAGAUUGCAGGCGGUAGAGCACUGAUCAGGAGAGGGACCUACCCGGUUACCAAACCCAGUCAAACUCCGAAUGGCUGCAAUCAUACCUGGGAGUCAGACUGCGACUAAUAAGGGCCGCAGUCAAAAGGGAAACAGCCCAGACCAUCAGCUAAGGUCCCCAAUGCCGUGCUAAGUGGCGAAGGAUGUGGCAUUUCAUAAACAACCAGGAUGUUGGCUCAGAAGCAGCCACCAUUUAAAGAGUGCGUAAUAGCUCACUGGUCGAGAGACGCUGCGCCGAAAAUGUCCGGGGCUCAAGCACGGAACCGAAGCUAUGGCAUGAUAGCAAUAUCAUGGGUAGGGGAGCGUUCUUAUAAGGAAGAAGCAUGACCGGAAGGACAUGUGGACAAAUAAGAAGUGAGAAUGCCGGUAUGAGUAUCGAAAAGAAAGGUGAGAAUCCUUUCCACCGAAAGCCCGAGGGUUCCUGAGCAACGAUCGUCGACUCAGGGUAAGUCGGGACCUAAGCCGAGGCGGAAAGCGUAGGCGAUGGACAACAGGUUGAAAUUCCUGUACCGGAUCAAGUCGAUUGAGCGAAGGAGCGACGCAGGAGGGCACAUGAUCGCGCGGCUGGAAGAGCGCGUCCAAGUGCGUAUGUUGCAGCAGAGGAAAACCCCUGCAGCUAAAAGCAGAGACAUGAAGGGGAGUUAAAGGAAACUUUGACGAACUCAUGAAUCCCACACUGCCAAGAAAAACUUCUAGCGAGACAAGAUCCGCCCGUACCGUAAACCGACACAGGUAGGCGGGGAGAGAAUCCUAAGGUGCGCGGGAAAACCCUCGUUAAGGAACUCGGCAAAUUGCAUCCGUAACCUAGGGAGAAGGAUGGCCCCCGGUCAGUGAAGAGCAGAAACGCUCAGAGCUAAAAGGGGCGGCAGAAAAGAGGCCCAAGCAACUGUUUACCAAAAACACAGGUGCCUGCGAAAGCGAAAGCUGAAGUAUAGGUGCUGACGCCUGCCCGGUGCCGGAAGGUUAAGGAGAGAAGUUAGCGAAAGCGAAGCAUCGAACUGAAGCCCCGGUGAACGGCGGCCGUAACUAUAACGGUCCUAAGGUAGCGAAAUUCCUUGUCGGGUAAG